AUCUGAUCUCAAAUCAGGUAGGACUACCCGCUGAACUUAAGCAUAUCANUAA
rnacentral:rRNA from 1 species